rnacentral:rRNA from 1 species
GCCCACCUACGGGAGGCAGCAGUGGGGGAUAUUGCACAAUGGGGGAAACCCUGAUGCAGCGACGCCGCGUGCGGGAAGACGGUCCUCUGGAUUGUAAACCACUGUCCCCAGCGACGAAGAUGACGGUACCUGGGGAGGAAGCUCCGGCUAACUACGUGCCAGCAGCCGCGGUAAUACGUAGGGAGCGAGCGUUGUCCGGAAUUACUGGGUGUAAAGGGAGCGUAGGCGGGGAUGCAGGUUGGGUGUCAAAACUACCGGCUCAACUG